CCUGCCUUCGCCUUUCCCUAGAAUUCUCCUCUCUGCCCACGGAAGCUCCAGUUCUACUUUGAAUCCUUUUUCAAGGGCUUUCUCAGACGUCACCUUCUCUGCGGAGCGUCCACUCCCCCUCUCCCAACUUCCACGGCCUCUGCUAUCAGGGCUGACGUGAUUGUCACUCACGCCUCUGAGGACCAUGCUAACCACGGCGUAGGACUGGAAGUCCGAAGACAUGAACUCAGUCUUAUUUAAUCCAAGAAACGCUAAGUGCUUGCCAGGUGCUGGGCCUUCAGCUGGGUAUUGGGGAUUCAAAAGAGAAAGACGCAGCCAGAUUGGAACAUCCAGUGGAGAAAGCAGCAAGUCAACAGAUAGAAAGCCAGGUAAAUUAGGUGUGAUCCAAGUUCUCUGGGAAUUCGGAAGAGUGAACUCUUAAUUUUCACAUCUUCCCCAAGGCGCACUGCCAUGUAUCAGCAGAUGCUCGGUGAGCACUUUGUGUAAAGGAGAGCAUUAACUCAACAUAGCCUUUAUCUGACUCUCCGCAGACUACUGCACACACAACCCUUGGCUAACCCCUCAUGUGGCGACAGCUACAGCUCUGAGAAGGGUCUGCUUGCGUUCUUCCCCUAGGUCCGGGCCAGCGCCAGCCAGGUGGUGGGAAAGGACCUGCUGAAGGAAUUUGAACUGUAGGACAUGGCCUGAAUUUCCCCACUCUGGCCCUGCCUCAGGUCUGCCUCUCCUGGUGGGAAGGAAGACGUUGGUUGUCUUCACUGGGAGGUGUCUCGCUUACACCUGGUGAGGCCACUGAAGACAUUACACAGCCUCAAACUGGGGCACCCUGGGGGCCCCCUCCUCACUGGGUGUGGUGCCCAGGAUGGGAAGGCAGGCCAGCCCAAGGGAAGCAGAUGGCCGCACACCCCACACUUGACAAGAAAGCAGUCCUGCCUGGCCAAGACUAAGGAAGAGUGAGAGUCAUGGUUCGGUUCCUAGUAACCAGCUUUUCCACCAGACCUUUGAAACCAUAAUCACUGCUCAACAUUUCCUCUGUGGAUGCCUUCCUCCAUGGUCCCUAUGUCGCCCUGAUCCCUGUCCCCCCAGGCCUGAGCUUUCAGGAAUUUAAUACCUGCCACUAAUUUGCUGUGCCGUGUGGGGCCUUGGGGGUGUAUUUUAUAGAUGACAGUAAUAACACACCUUUGCAGAGAACCUGCAGGUACCAGGACCCCUGCAUGCCUCCUCCUUUAAACUUCACAACCAAGCUCUAAGGUGAGAACUGUUGUCAUCCCCAUUUCACAGGUGAGGAAGCAGGAGCUUCAGGAGUUCAAUAACUCGCCCCGUGUGACACGGCUGGUGUAAGUGGCAGAGCUGGACCUCGCCCCCUCCUCAGUCUUGGGCUGGUGAACUUGGCUCCACACCCUGGAGAACUGCAUCCUAAACUCCAGGAGAGUCAACGUUAGGUUUAAGUUUUUCUGCUAUUCUCCGUAAACAGCCAUUGAUUGAUUGGCUUGACCGUAAAACUGUUUUAAAUAAAAUAGAACAUGUUUCUUUUAAGGCACCCACAGCCAUUAAAAGAACAUUUCCAACCUGUUUCCAAACAAUCUCUGGGCAAGAACAAUCUAUUACUCCUAACCCUGCAGUCAUGUCCCUCCCCCAGCACCCAUGCUGACCUUUUCCUAUCAGGCACGCAGUGUCUGGAGACAAAGCCGAGGGCGCCAAGAGAAAGGGGCCAAGACUCAGAUGUAUUUCAGACAAGAACCUGAAGUGACUGAAUCAGAGUUUUACAAAGAACGCCGGUCUAAUUUUAGAUGGAAACCCGACUUACCCCUUCCAGCCUGCCAGUUAGUUUUGGUUAUGUGUCAUUGUUUAUAGUUUAAAUAUUCUUUGCAUUUUUUCCCCAAGACUGCUGUUAAAUUAGAAGCUGGCCGAGAAGAUAAGUUAUUUAUGGAUGUGUGUGACUCCUCUUUAGGCCUAGCUGCUUGCAACUUUCUCAAGCCACCCGGGAAGGUGUGCUUUAUACAGAACGAGAGAGUGUGUGUGAAAUGUUCUUUGAAUAAUGAUUGCAAAGUGCUCAGGGAAGAACUGACUUUAUUUAGACGUUCUGUUUCUUAACAGUUUCCUCUCUGGCUCUCUCUGCAGACAGUGAGUGUGCGGGGGUCUGGGGCGGGCAGUGUGACUGUAAGCUCAGGGAAUAAUAGAGUUUUAUUAUGAGGGAGAUUGCAUCAUGCAUGCUUGAAAUUCCCAUGUGGUACAAUCUGAUUAAGUAUCGAUAUAGUCCAGGUUCCCAGAGGUAUUGUGGGGCUUGGGAAAGAGUAAAAUAGUACACAGGCCACUUGAUCAGAGAUCAAAAGUUCACAGAUGGCAAUGGGCAGUGCGUAACUGCAUGAGGGCCAACAAUAUGUUGUUCUCCGUUCAUUAAGCGCUAUGCUGAGGCAUUUUCUCUGGAAGGGAAAUCCCGUAAAAAAGUUUGUGCACUUAAAAAAAUGUGUAACUACACAAAGCUGAGUUAUGGCUGCUGGACGAAUUUCCCACAUAAGGAAAUCUUGGAAGAGAAUUGUGGAUUAUAUCAUCUGUGAUUUAUCUGGGUCCAAAUGCCUGAAACACGCAAUGAACUUGAGUUGGAACAACACCUAUAUUCUCCGAAGUGUCUCCUGCCUCCGACACAGGGACUAGGGACAGGCUGCCCUCAUCACUUCGAGAGGACAAUAGAAACAGACAGCUGGCUGAUUCCACGGUGUUGGAAAUACUCAGGCUGUCCCCAGACACUGGGCUCCUUAUUUUAGACUCAAUUCAGUACAUGUUUAUGAUUUUGUAUGUGCUACACACGUUCUCUGCCCAGGGCAAUUGGGAUUCAAAGAUAAGCAAGGACACAACACUCGAGUCCUUAAGUCCCCUGAGAGAAGCCCAGUUGCUGUAAGAGCUCUAAAGAGACCCUCUCCCUCUGGCAAAGGUGCCGGGGAACUCUUCACAGACAGGUGGUUGAAGAAGGACAUGCAGGAUGGUGGGGCUCUUCCUGUGCCUGCCCAAGUCUGAGGAAACAAAGGCCGAGCCUGUCUCCUGCUCACGUCCUAUGGGGACAGUCGCCUUGUCCCUCAUGGUUGGCCAGCAGCCUGCUUCCAGAGUAGGUGGCUGGAGUACACAGUCUCUUUCUCCAUGCUGGGAGAAGGCUGUGGGCAGUAGUCACGCACGGGCAUGUGGGGACAGAUCUUCCCCAGAAGUGUGGGAACAGGGUCCAGCUCUGCCUGGCCUUUGUGCUGCCCUCCCAGGUUCAGGGCUGGAGUCCCCUGUCUGGGUCCUGGGCAGCUCUGCGGUCAGAAUGAAGAAAAGGGAUGCAGGGGGCAGUGGUGCUGUGGGUUACGGAGAGGUCUUCUCGUUCCAGGCACCUAUUACUGGCCUUCCCCGGGGGGUGCAUUUGUUUUCUAGGAGCCCUCCAACACAUGCUCGGGGUCCCAGCACAGCAGCAUUUCCUGGUCUAUGACGUGAUGCCCUCUCAUUUCCUGCCCUGGCCCUGCUCUGGGGCACAUCCAUGCAGCCCCGGAGCUUUGGGGUGAGCAUCCACUUGGCACACGUGAAGACUCAUGCCACCCCCCACGCCAAGGGCAGGAGGGCCCUCAGACCAUGGUAGCCGGCUCUCCUGGUCCUGCCAGGAGACGGCCCCAGGCCGUCACUGCGAUCAGUCUUCUUCCUGGAAGUAACAGUGCUGGGAGGGAUUCUGGGGUGCAACCCCUCAGCAGACAGCUCUGCGAUCCACACUUGUGGUCAGAAUGCGGGGCUGGGGCAGGACCCACCUCCUUUUGAGGGAAAGGGGAGAAGGUGCUGUAUCUCCUAGACUCUCUUCCAAGAAAAAAGAUGCUGAGAAAGAGCAGAUGAUUGAGGGCCCAAGGGACAGCACACGCAGUUUGGUGACUUAGGAACUCAGGGAGCAAGAGGUCAGCUGGGAUUUCCCUCUGGAAUGCUAUGCUAGGUUGAAUCUGUUCCAGAACUGCAACAAGACCGCGUGCUUUCCAAUGAAGUGGCCUUUGAUGCAUUGUUUGGAGCAGGUCUACACGCUAAGAUCAGAUGUACCCACACUUCCCCUGGUCCACAAACAGGACACGCACGGAGAUGAAACACUUGGCAGGAAUGAGCUCAAGGGAAGGUCUGGUGAUUAGGGGAGAAAACGUCCGGCCCGAAAGACGCUGAGUUGCUCAUAACACCGUGAGGUUUCUUUGAUGCGAGAUGGGAGUUGUUUGUUUGGCUGGCCUAGCAAGGGCUGAAAAGAACGUGAGGCCGCUGGUACAGCCCACCUGCGUUGUUACAGAUGAGGAGUCUGGAGUUCAAGAGAUGGCAAAGUUCACAGGGAUGCCCAUACUUGCAGAUGGCCCUCAAGUGCUGUAGCCUUGCAGGCCAGUCAGCCCGCGGAUGCAGUCAGCCAGCCAGUCCUCUCCUGCCCACGGCUCCAGCCAGGCACUGGGCUGUCACUGUCUUUCAGAACGAGUUGCCCUUCAGCUCUGACCCACUGGGCUCCCAGACAUGGACUAGUGAUGACUUUUUGUCAGCCGUCCACUACUGACUUCUGUUUAGCUUGUGGAAGGAACCGAGGCUCCUUCCCUGGGGCCCUGUCCUCUCUGUCCCUACAGAGAGUGAGGCCUACCAGGCUCCUUCCAGUUGCCCCCACAGGAGGCCAAGCCGCCUGGCCUGCGUCUGCCCUGCUCUUUGAUCCACUGCUUUUGGAGUGACUCAUCACUAAUCUUUCCUGUCAAUAACAACAAACACUGGGAGGAGGCCCAAGGGCCCUCCUUGGCUCAACAUGUCUUGAAAUUGAACUGGAAGGGAAAACCCAUUACACAGAGGGCUUUGAAGGGGCAGAGGGAAGGAGAAGAAGCCAGAAUCCACACAAGGCGAGCCAGACCCUGGGGUCUGGGUGAAUGCUCAGGCGGGUCAGCUGACAUCUACUGGGGGCAGAGGAGCCUCCCCACGCUAGCUCGUUUCCUCACUCCUGCCCCACUUACUAACAGCCAGCUCUCGACAGGGCCUUCCUGGCCCAGGGAAGAUCCACACUGGACGGACUCUUUGCACCAACAGCCUGAAUAGACUUGGAAGCGGGUUCUAGGCCUCAUCCCGAUGUCGUCCUAAAUGUGAAGAGCGUCGUGGACUUUGAAGUCAGAAGAACUGGCUAUAAAUCCUGCUUUGCUGCUUACUGCCUUUAUGGCCUCUGGAAAGUCACUUAACCUCCAUGAAUCUCAGUUUCUUCAUCUAUAAAAUGGGUGUAUUGCUACUUUCAAGAUUGCUGGGAGGAUUAAAGAGGAUUAUGUGAAGUGCCCAAAACGUAGGCGAUACUUAUUACCUAGUAGCUAAUCUUAUUUAAUUAGAUAGCUUCGUCUCUCAAAUAAAAUAAGUUCUCUGGGUUUAGUCAAAGGAAAUAGAGUUAGAAUUUAGGCCUUUCCGGUGGAAACAGGUGGCUCCACAGGACUGUGUGUGUGUGGUCUGUUCCAAGGGCCCCUAACUUGGGUUUGGUGCACACAUCUCAUUCUGAUGGCAUCUCAUCACCAAGCCCCAGGCCAGAGGCUGGGCACCACCAGCAUAGCCACUCCUUCGACUGCAGGCCUCUGCUGCCCUUCGUACCGCGUGACCGGCGGAUCAAUAGGACAAAUGCCCUGCAGUGCCCGGUGAAGACUUUGAACUCUGGUCCCCGUCCAGCCAGGUGCUGGCACAGCUGACGAGGCAGCAGGCAGGGGCCCCCCUCUGGCUCUUAGGGCUCUCCAGCUCCCAUUGGCCCCUGGGCCACCAAGGAAGGCGCUGGAUUUGUGCAGAGAUUCUCAGAAAAGAAACUUGACACUGGCCAUGUCCACAGGAUUGAGGGCAGAGUAAAGAUGAGUGGUUAGAAUUUCUGGAGGACAUAUUUCUUCCCUGGAGGGAAGAACGUUCUGUCAGUAAUAACAAAACUUCACACUCAACGGAGGGGCUCCCUGGCGCCUCCGCUCUUUCUGCCCCUCCCUAAACUAGCCACUGGGGUUGUGGGGUGUUUAGCUUAACGGCACCUUCAAAUUGUGCCCUGCAACCACAUUCAUAGUAUGAGAAGGAAUAUUUGUUUGUCCUCAGGUUCUGUUAAAGUAGGUAUGUCUGAACCGACCAACCAACCACUGACUCCUAACACCAACUUCCACCAAAAAUCUUGGAGCUCAGUGGACAAACCAGCUAAGCACUGCUUCUCAAAUAAUAUCAUUCCUGUCUGGGUGUGUCCACGUUAGAAAAGCAUUCCUACACCACAUUCCGAUAGGGAUCCUCCAGUGGCUAAGUGGGGUAUUAUCUUCCUUUUGCAAAGGAGGAAAUAACGUGCUCAUGGUUACAAGUCCAGCAAGUAGCAGGCCUGGGAGAAGAACCGGGUCUUCUGUCUCCUCCUGCUAAGCCUUGUCCAGAUAAGGAGUGCGUGGCCUCAUGACUCCUCUCAGGUCCAAACAGGGUCCAUGACUGUGGAUCCAAUCGUGUAAGAGCCCCUGGAGCCCAGAUUUGUACUGUUAAAGCAUUCUGCACUGCUGGUGGGAGCAGACGUUGGCACAAUUUUUAGGAUUGUAAUUUGGCAAUAUGUAUCAAAACCUUUAAAGAUGCACUUACCAAUGAUUUCCACUGCAAGGAAUGUAUCUUAAAGAAAUACUCGAGGCUGGGCGCCAGGUUAAAAAGUUAGACAUAGAAUUACCCAGUGACUCAGCAAUUCCACUCCUAGGUGCACACCCCAAAAAAUAAAAACAUACGUCCUUGCAAAAAUAUUGCAUGAGAAUGUUAAUAGCAGCACUAUCUAUAAUAGCCAAAAAGUGAAAACAAGCCGAUAUCCAUCACCUGUCAAACGGAUAAAGUGUGGUUCAUCCAUACAAUGGAAUAUUAUUCAGCAAUAAAAAGGAAUGAAGUACUGAUACACACUACAGCAUGAGGACCCUUGAAAAUAUGAUGCCAAGUGAAAGAAGACAGUUACAAAAGACCACAUGUUGUAUGAUUUCAUUCAUUUUCCUACAGAGACACUAGGACAAUUUGUCUCUAUAGGAAAAUUUAUAGAGACAGAAAGUAGAUUAGUGGUUGCCUAGGGCUGGGGCAGGCAAGUGGGGAGGAAUGGAGGUUGACUGAUAAUGGGUAUGGGGUUUAUUUUAGGGGGAACAAAAACAUUCUAAAAUUAAAUUGUGGCGAUGGUUGUGCAACACUGUAAAUAUAUUAAAAGCCAUUAAGUCGUACACUUUAAAUGGGUGAAUUAUGUGGUAUGUUAUUUGUGUCUUAGUAAAGCUGUUUGUAAAAAAUGGGC